AGGGCAUUCGGUGGAUGCCUUGGCGACAAGAGGCGAUGAAGGACGUGGUACGCUGCGAUAAGCUACGGUGAGGUGCGAACAACCUUUGACCCGUAGAUUUCCGAAUGGGGCAACCCAACCCUUCGGGGUUACCGUGCACUGAAUACAUAGGUGUACGGGGCGAACCCGGGGAACUGAAACAUCUCAGUACCCGGAGGAAAGGACAUCAACAGAGACUCCGUUAGUAGUGGCGAGCGAACGCGGACCAGGCCAGUGGCAAACGCGAGACAACCGGAACCGUCUGGAAAGUCGGGCCAUAGCGGGUGAUAGCCCCGUACGGGUAAUGCGAGCGUUUGUCCUCGAGUAGGGCGGGACACGUGAAAUCCUGUCUGAACAUGGGGGGACCACCCUCCAAGCCUAAGUACUCCUUGUCGACCGAUAGCGAACAAGUACCGUGAGGGAAAGGUGAAAAGCACCCCGACGAGGGGAGUGAAACAGACCCUGAAACCGGAUGCCUACAAACAGUCGGAGCCCAAGGUUCGUCCUGGGUGACGGCGUACCUUUUGUAUAAUGGGUCAGCGACUUAGUCUAACGAGCAAGCUUAAGCCGAUAGGUGUAGGCGUAGCGAAAGCGAGUCUGAACAGGGCGUUCAGUUCGUUGGACUAGACCCGAAACCGAGUGAUCUAGCCAUGACCAGGCUGAAGGCAAGGUAACACUUGCUGGAGGGCCGAACCCACGUCUGUUGAAAAAGCCGGGGAUGAGUUGUGGCUAGGGGUGAAAGGCCAAUCAAACUCGGAAAUAGCUGGUUCUCCGCGAAAGCUAUUUAGGUAGCGCCUCGCGUGAAUACUCCCGGGGGUAGAGCACUGGAUGGGCUAGGGGUCCCCACAGGAUUACCAAACCUAACCAAACUCCGAAUACCGGGAAGUACUGCGCGGGAGACACACUGCGGGUGCUAAGGUCCGUAGUGGAAAGGGAAACAGCCCUGAUCGCCAGCUAAGGUCCCCAAGUCGUGGCUAAGUGGGAAAGGAUGUGAGAAUCCCAAAACAACCAGGAUGUUGGCUUAGAAGCAGCCAUCAUUUAAAGAAAGCGUAACAGCUCACUGGUCUAAAUAAGGGUUCUUGCGCCGAAGAUGUAACGGGGCUCAAGCCACGCACCGAAGCUGCGGGUGUGACGCAAGUCACGCGGUAGCGGAGCGUUCCGUAAACCUGCGAAGGGAGACCUGCGAGGGCUCCUGGAGGUAUCGGAAGUGCGAAUGCUGACAUGAGUAACGAGAGGAGUGUGAGAGACACUCCCGCCGAAAGUCCAAGGGUUCCUGCGCAACGCUAAUCGGCGCAGGGUUAGCCGGCCCCUAAGGCGAGGGCGAAAGCCGUAGUCGAUGGGAACCAGGUGAAUAUUCCUGGGCCAGUGGAUGGUGACGAAUUCCGGACGUUGUCGGGGAUUACUGGAUUUCUCCCGGCAGCCAAGGAGUUCCAGGAAAUAGCCUCCACAUCAGACCGUACCCUAAACCGACACAGGUGGACUGGUAGAGUAUACCAAGGCGCUUGAGAGAAUGAUGCUGAAGGAACUCGGCAAAUUGCCUGCGUAACUUCGGGAUAAGCAGGCCUCGGUCUCGGGCAACCGGGAUCGAGGGGCACAGACCAGGGGGUGGCGACUGUUUACUAAAAACACAGGGCUCUGCGAAGCCGCAAGGCGACGUAUAGGGUCUGACGCCUGCCCGGUGCCGGAAGGUUAAGAGGAGGGGUGCAAGCUCCGAAUCGAAGCCCCGGUAAACGGCGGCCGUAACUAUAACGGUCCUAAGGUAGCGAAAUUCCUUGUCGGGUAAGUUCCGACCUGCACGAAUGGCGUAACGACUUCCCCACUGUCUCCAGCAUCAACUCAGUGAAAUUGAACUCCCCGUGAAGAUGCGGGGUUCCUGCGGUCAGACGGAAAGACCCUAUGAACCUUUACUACAACUUUGCGCUGGCACUUGUGUCGGCAUGUGUAGGAUAGGCGGAAGACUUUGAAGCCACGGCGCCAGCCGUGGUGGAGUCGCCCUUGAAAUACCGCCCUUAUCGACACGAUUGUCUAACCGCGGCCCGUCAUCCGGGUCCGGGACAGCGCAUGGUGGGUAGUUUGACUGGGGCGGUCGCCUCCCAAAGUGUAACGGAGGCGCGCGAAGGUAGGCUCAGGCUGGUCGGAAAUCAGCCGCUGAGUGCAAUGGCAUAAGCCUGCCUGACUGCGAGACUGACAAGUCGAGCAGAGUCGAAAGACGGCCAUAGUGAUCCGGUGGUCCCUCGUGGACGGGCCAUCGCUCAACGGAUAAAAGGUACUCUAGGGAUAACAGGCUGAUGAUGCCCAAGAGUCCAUAUCGACGGCAUCGUUUGGCACCUCGAUGUCGGCUCAUCACAUCCUGGGGCUGGAGCAGGUCCCAAGGGUUCGGCUGUUCGCCGAUUAAAGUGGUACGUGAGCUGGGUUUAGAACGUCGUGAGACAGUUCGGUCCCUAUCUGCCGUGGGUGUAGGAGAAUUGAGAGGAUCUGCCCUUAGUACGAGAGGACCGGGGUGGACGUACCUCUGGUGGACCUGUUGUGGCGCCAGCUGCAUUGCAGGGUAGCUAUGUACGGACGGGAUAACCGCUGAAGGCAUCUAAGCGGGAAACCCCCCUCAAAACGAGUUCUCCCUCAAGAGCCGUGGAAGACGACCACGUUGAUAGGCUGGGUGUGGAAGCGCGGUGACGCGUGGAGCUUACCAGUACUAAUAGCUCGAUCGGCUUGAUC
rnacentral:rRNA from 1 species